CGAUUCCUCCACGUUCAGCUCCGCGUCCCGGCGUCUUUCUUCAGGAUUUCGGCCCCAUCCUCCUUCAGAUCUACUUCUCUUCGAGUCUAAUUGGCUUUGGAGCUUCCAUUCUUUUGCUUCUAGGCUCGGAUCUUUUGCAUGCGCCGGCGAACAUCUCUCCGGAGCUCAGAUCUAUUCGUAUGUCCUCUGUUUCAGCCAUCAUCGGGGGAAUUCUUCGGUGAUAGUGGCUUGCUCUCUAUCAGAGAGUAUCGAUCCAGAGAAAUCGGAUUCAAGAUUUGCGAAAUUUCGAGCUGUGCAGUGCCAAUCUUCGCCGGCUUUUCCAGGAAAGUUUUCUUGGUGCUGGAAGAGAUUGAAUUGAGUUGAAGUUUUCAUUCAAUUAGCUUGUGUUGUAGCAAGGGAAGACUUGUUAGAGGAGUAGUUUUGAUUGGAGAUGGCUUAGAGUUUAGUUGUGCAGUUUAUAGUUUCUGCGUUUUUGUUUCCUUUAGAUGUUGUCAUUGAAUUCAUUGUUUCUUUAAUUCUGAACUAUAUAGUUCUAGUUUUGUUUCCUUAGUUAUCUUUUGUGCAAGUUAAUUCUGUUUUCUUUCUUGUUUUUACAGCUAGAGUUUUGCAUUUCUAUGCUACAGUUAUUCUUCUUGCAAUUCCAGUUUCGAAUUAAACUUUCUGCACAUGUCAUUUUCUGCAGUUUAGGUCUGAUGAAUUCCUUUAAGUUGCAAAAUUACAGAAUCCUCGUGUGGUAAACUACUUGAUUUUGAUCCAGAAAUUGAAAGGACCUUCAGAGCUUUGAGAAUUCAAGAGAACAUUUCAGAGGACUCAGGAAGUUCUUUAUCAUCUUCAGAUACCCCUAUGGCUGAUCAUAGCAGAACAAUGAAGGAGCUUGCAGCUCCUGAUGAGGCUUUCAAAUAUUCUUGCAUUACAUAUCCAGAUUUGGCAGGAGACUUCGAGCUUAGAUCUGGAUUGAUUCAUUUGCUGCCAAAAUAUCAAGGAUUAUCUGGAGAAGACCCAAAUAGACAUUUGCAUGAAUUCCAUGUGGUAUGUUCAACCAUGAAGCCACAAGGAAUCUCAGAAGAAGAUAUCAAGCUGAGGGCUUUUCCAUUUUCAUUGACUGGAGUAGCAAAAGAUUGGUUGUAUUAUUUGCCACCAUGAUACAUUACUUCUUGGAUAGAUAUGAAGAAGGCUUUCUUGGAGAAAUUCUUUCCAGCUUCAAGAACUG